UACGAGAGGCGCAAACGUUAUUCGGAAUUACUGGGCUUAAAGAGUUCGUAGGCGGCGCAGAAAGUCGGAUGUGAAAGCCCUGGGCUCAACCUAGGAAGUGCAUUCGAAACUUCCGAGCUGGAGUGCUGGAGAGGAAGGCGGAAUUCUCGGUGUAGAGGUGAAAUUCGUAGAUAUCGAGAGGAACACCGGUGGCGAAGGCGGCCUUCUGGACAGCCACUGACGCUGAGACGCGAAAGCGUGGGGAGCAAACAGG
rnacentral:rRNA from 1 species